CCUCUCGGGGGUAAGCGGGCAGAUCUUGCAAGUAUUGACGGGAGAUUCAGACUUAGGGCUCGGGGCUGUGUGGCCGGGUUAAGUUGCUCAUUCGUGGGCGGACUGACUCGGUGGCUUUGUUCCUCGGGCUCUGCGUCGCAUUUCUCCUCGUCAUCCGGGUUGCACGCAACUGAGUUGAUAGUUUAGGCGCCGAGAAUAUGCAAAUCCUUGUUGAUUUGAGUCCAGGUGGCCGACUAUUUGUGCGGUUGUUGAAAGCGAACAAGUGCUUGGCACGGUUGACUACCUGCACGAGUCGUGUACUGGUUUCAUUUGGACGAGUAAUCGUAAGGUGGAGUCCGUACUGGUUGUCAGUGUGAGUAGUUGGCAUUGUUCAGUAUUGCAAUCUAAAGCAUGCGUGGUCUGCCUGU
rnacentral:rRNA from 1 species